rnacentral:rRNA from 1 species
UUCGCAAUGCCCGAAAGGGUGAACGAGCGACGCCGCGUGCGGGAUGAAGGGCUUCGGCUUGUAAACCGCUUUUCUUUGGGAAGAAGGUCCAGGUCGUGCACUUGGGCUCGACGGUACCAGAGGAAUAAGCCCCGGCUAACUCCGUGCCAGCAGCCGCGGUAAGACGAACCGAGCGAACGUUGUUCGGAAUCACUGGGCAUAAAGAGCACGUAGGCGGUUGAGCAAGUCCAUUGUGAAAUCCCCCGGCUUAACCGGGGAACUGCAGUGGAUACUACUUGACUUGAGUGCAGGAGGGGAGAGUGGAAUUCCAGGUGGAGCGGUGAAAUGCGUAGAUAUCUGGAGGAACGCCGGUGGCGAAAGCGACUCUCUGGUCUGUAACUGACGCUGAGGUGCGAAAACCAGGGGAGCGAACGGGAUUAGAUACCCGGGUAGUCCUGGCCGUAAACGAUGGGCACUAAGUAGAGGGGUUUU